rnacentral:rRNA from 1 species
AGUGAACGCUGGCGGUAGGCCUAACACAUGCAAGUCGAACGGCAGCACAGUAAGAGCUUGCUCUUACGGGUGGCGAGUGGCGGACGGGUGAGGAAUACAUCGGAAUCUACUUUUUCGGGGGGGAUAACGUAGGGAAACUUACGCUAAUACCGCAUACGACCUACGGGUGAAAGCAGGGGAUCUUCGGACCUUGCGCGAUUGAAUGAGCCGAUGUCGGAUUAGCUAGUUGGCGGGGUAAAGGCCCACCAAGGCGACGAUCCGUAGCCGGUCUGAGAGGAUGAUCAGCCACACUGGAACUGAGACACGGUCCAGACUCCUACGGGAGGCAGCAGUGGGGAAUAUUGGACAAUGGGCGGAAGCCUGAUCCAGCCAUACCGCGUGGGUGAAGAAGGCCUUCGGGUUGUAAAGCCCUUUUGUUGGGAAAGAAAAGCAGCAGGUUAAUACCCCGCUGUUCUGACGGUACCCAAAGAAUAAGCACCGGCUAACUUCGUG